CUGUGCAAAACAGUCCUGCCAUAUAAUACUUUUUGUAGCAUUUCUUUCCACUUCCACUCAGUAAAUUGUGGAAAAUCCUAAUAUGUGACAGUGGCUACCAGUGGCUCCUGAACCUUUUCUUACUGCUGCCUGAGCCAGCUAUAGGUUGGUGGGCUUUUUAAACUACACUUUACUGCACGUGGUUGUCAGAAGUUGUUCCUGGAUGAAGUCAACUGAUUGUGCAUGUCCAGAAGCAGCUCCAAAGAGGAGCCCAGAAAAAGAUGCGACCAUACUACAACCAAUCUACAUAUCAUACCUAAGGACCAACUGUAUUUCAAUCUCCACUUCCAUGUGCAAAAGAUGAGCUACCUGUGACCAAGUACUCUCAUAGAUGUUUUUCACAGGUUUUUCCAUCAAUAUCAGCUGGAACAAAAUCAGUCAUCUGAAAAAGCCAACCAUUAGCUCCUAUGGAGUAUGUAAAAAUACUUUCCAAACAGUACAACACAGAAAUUAAGUGAUUACUGAUGGGAACAGCAAUAAUUAAUCCUAGUUCUUUUGUUUUUUUGAAAGUCUAACGGAAAUGAAUAUCCAAGGCUAUUUUUCAAGACUAAUCUUAUUUUAUGGUACUUUUUCAGACAAAAUUUCCAAUGGCUAAUUUUAAGAGGCAAGCCCAGAAGAUGCAUAGGUCUGCUCUAUUUUUGGUUGGUAUCUUGUAGGAGAAAAGUGGCAACUUGCCCUUUCCUAUUACUGUACUGAUUAAAUUUCUAUAGAAUAGUUGAGAACAAAAGCAAGAAUCUUUUGAUAAUUUUGUUGUUGUUAAAGUAUUUUAGCACUUCCUAAUUGACAUUUAGGAAAGAGAGCUUGUUCAUCCUUGGUUCUUUUUUAAAAAAAAUUCAAACAAACACUCUUUCAACAAAAAUGCUGCAUAUAAACUAUGUCAUACAAGCUAAAAAAAGACAUUUAGUCCUUUCUCUUCAAUAAACUGACUCUACAUGUGUGUUUUGGAGGAAACAUCUGGAGUUAAAAAACUAGACCAACCUAUAUCAGUCUUCCCCUUUUCAAGUUAGUAAUGCAAUCUGAACAAAGAUCCGUUGAUAGCGGUUUUUAUUUUAAUGGUGCUUUUAACAAUAAUAUAUGUAUUAAUGUUCAAGUACCUCAAUUUGAAGUUUCAAAUAUUUUUUUUUUAAUAAGGUUAGUAAAUAGUCAUGUAUUGGUUCACACGAGAUAAGAAUUUUCUGCCAACAGGCACAGAAACUUUACACAGACUUUUGAUGAGGACUUGGAACUUUUAUGAAUUGUUUCUAAGAGUGAUUUAUUUUGGUCAAGCAUACAAAAAAGCAUUACCCUGCCUCCAACCGUAUACCUAAAUUCACCAGAUACAUCACCUUACACUGGAGAGACAACAGAGAGCGCAUACGUUUUGCAAAACCAACCAACCACAACAACAACAAACACUAUGUUGCGGAACAGGAAUUCUUGUUUGUCAGAGACAAACAGGGAAAUGGCUAGUUAAAACCUGGGAAGAUGGUAAAGCAUGCCUUAUUAGGAAGCAGUGUAGGAGUGAGGGAAGGUCUCAGAGAGCAUGGUGAAAGGACAGACAUGUUGAUUACAUAGCAGCCAACACUGUCAUCUAGGCUAUCUAGAACAGCCCAAUGAAUAGGGCUAUUCUAGUCAGUCUUUAGUACCAUGCUUUGAAGGAGCUGAGACAUGCCUGCAGUUAUCAGGACCUCUUCCUGUCUGCUGUGUUUCACGCUUUCCCUUCCUUGCUCAAAUUGUUCUGCAAUGUCUCACCACAACACUUACCUUAAAAACUACCAAGAGUUAACAGAUCCAUCUUAUAGUGUGUAUAAGUUAGCAGAUCUGUCAAUAAUGCACUAUAGGUUAGCAGUAACAUCAAUAGUGUACUAAUUGAAAGAUGCAUCUUGUGUGAGCUCUGAGGAGUGAAUCACUAAAGACACUUGCCAAUUUAUUAUAAACAGGAAAUGUGUUACAUGAGGUAGCUAUUGCCACUCUCUAGGUCUCUUUUUCAUAGUGCCUAACCAGAACACGCUAAAGAUGCCUAGCAGUUAAGGUUAUUCAGUUUAAAGAGAGUUGUUACUGUCAUUACAAGAAAUCUGUAGCAGAAAAGAAAUUGUAAAAAAACAGAACUAGCACUUAAUUUCUUUUUAACAAAAGCUUUUACAUAAAAGCACUAUUAUGCAGCAUCAGUGCACAUGAGUUGUCCCUUUACUUGGAUGAACAAAGGGCCUUUAAAUCUAAAUAUCUGAUGUAAAACAAAGCAUAUACAACAAACAGUUUUUGCUAUUUACCAUUGUGUUAGUGAAUAUGAUUCUUCAACAUUUUCUCCUACUACCAGGCAAGACUCUGAAGCCCACAGAGAUCAAGUCAAAAUUAAAUGAUGCCAGGAAAAAAAAUCCCUCAAUAAUGCUUUUCAUAAAAAUGCUUAUCUAGGCCAAUUAUAUGCUGCUAUUUUGGAUUUGAAACAUCUCACUGAGUUUGCAAGAUCUCUAUGUCAAUGUACACUCAGGUAUAGCUUAAUACGUUCAAUUUCUUGAGUUUCUCUUAAGAGAAAAUAGUAAUAAUAAAAUAUAAAGAUAUUUCUCCCUUUUGCCCCUUCCCCAAUGUUCUAUCAU